rnacentral:rRNA from 1 species
GGGAGCUUGCUCCCUGAGAUUAGCGGCGGACGGGUGAGUAACACGUGGGCAACCUGCCUAUAAGACUGGGAUAACUUCGGGAAACCGGAGCUAAUACCGGAUACGUUCUUUUCUCGCAUGAGAGAAGAUGGAAAGACGGUUUACGCUGUCACUUAUAGAUGGGCCCGCGGCGCAUUAGCUAGUUGGUGAGGUAAUGGCUCACCAAGGCGACGAUGCGUAGCCGACCUGAGAGGGUGAUCGGCCACACUGGGACUGAGACACGGCCCAGACUCCUACGGGAGGCAGCAGUAGGGAAUCUUCCGCAAUGGACGAAAGUCUGACGGAGCAACGCCGCGUGAACGAAGAAGGCCUUCGGGUCGUAAAGUUCUGUUGUUAGGGAAGAACAAGUACCAGAGUAACUGCUGGUACCUUGACGGUACCUAACCAGAAAGCCACGGCUAACUACGUGCCAGCAG